rnacentral:rRNA from 1 species
GAUGAACGCUGGCGGCGUGCCUAAUACAUGCAAGUCGAGCGAACAGACGAGGAGCUUGCUCCUCUGACGUUAGCGGCGGACGGGUGAGUAACACGUGGAUAACCUACCUAUAAGACUGGGAUAACUUCGGGAAACCGGAGCUAAUACCGGAUAAUAUAUUGAACCGCAUGGUUCAAUAGUGAAAGACGGUUUUGCUGUGACUUAUAGAUGGAUCCGCGCCGCAUUAGCUAGUUGGUAAGGUAACGGCUUACCAAGGCAACGAUGCGUAGCCGACCUGAGAGGGUGAUCGGCCACACUGGAAAUGAGACACGGUCCAGACUCCUACGGGAGGCAGCAGUAGGGAAUCUUGCGCAAUGGGCGAAAGCCUGACGGAGCAACGCCGCGUGAGUGAUGAAGGUCUUCGGAUCGUAAAACUCUGUUAUUAGGGAAGAACAAAUGUGUAAGUAACUAUGCACGUCUUGACGGUACCUAAUCAGAAAGCCACGGCUAACUACGUG